rnacentral:rRNA from 1 species
CAGGCCUAACACAUGCAAGUCGAACGAGGAUUGCGAGAUUGAGAGCUUCGGCAGGAUAGAUUGCAAUUCGAGUGGCGGACGGGUGAGUAACGCGUGAGCAACCUGUCCCAGACAGGGGGAUAACACUUGGAAACAGGUGCUAAUACCGCAUAAGACCACGGUACCACAUGGUACAGGGGUAAAAGGAGGAAUCCGGUUUGGGGUGGGCUCGCGUCCGAUUAGAUAGUUGGUGAGGUAACGGCCCACCAAGUCGACGAUCGGUAGCCGACCUGAGAGGGUGAUCGGCCACAUUGGAACUGAGAGACGGUCCAAACUCCUACGGGAGGCAGCAGUGGGGAAUAUUGGGCAAUGGGCGAAAGCCUGACCCAGCAACGCCGCGUGAGUGAAGAAGGCUUUCGGGUUGUAAAGCUCUGUUAUAGGGGACGAAGGAAGUGACGGUACCCUAUAAGGAAGCCCCGGCUAACUACGUGCCAGCAGCCGCGGUAAUACGUAGGGGGCGAGCGUUGUCCGGAAUGACUGGGCGUAAAGGGCGUGUAGGCGGUCGAUUAAGUCUGGAGUGAAAGUCCUGCUUUCAAGGUGGGAAUUGCUUUGGAGACUGGUUGACUUGAGUGCGGAAGAGGUAAGUGGAAUUCCCAGUGUAGCGGUGAAAUGCGUAGAGAUUGGGAGGAACACCAGUGGCGAAGGCGACUUACUGGGCCGUAACUGACGCUGAGGCGCGAAAGCGUGGGGAGCGAACAGGAUUAGAUACCCUGGUAGUCCACGCGGUAAACGAUGAAUGCCAGGUGUUGCGGGUAUCGACCCCUGCAGUGCCGGAGUAAACACAAUAAGCAUUCCGCCUGGGGAGUACGGCCGCAAGGUUGAAACUCAAAGGAAUUGACGGGGGCCCGCACAAGCAGCGGAGCAUGUUGUUUAAUUCGAAGCAACGCGAAGAACCUUACCAGGUCUUGACAUCGAGGUAAAGCCCAAGAGAUUGGGUGUGGCUUCGGCCAACCGAAGACAGGUGGUGCAUGGUUGUCGUCAGCUCGUGUCGUGAGGUGUCGGCUUAAGUGCCAUAACGAGCGCAACCCCUUUCAUUAGUUGCCAUCACUUCGGGUGGGCACUCUGGUGAUACUGCCACCGUAAGGUGUGAGGAAGGUGGGGAUGACGUCAAAUCAGCACGGCCCUUACGUCCGGGGCUACACACGUGUUACAAUGGGUGAUACAGAGGGCGGGUGCAUGGCAAUGUGCAUCAAAUCUUAAAAGUCAUCCUCAGUUCGGAUUGGGGUCUGCAACCCGACCCCAUGAAGCUGGAUUCGCUAGUAAWCGCGCAUCAGCCAUGGCGCGGUGAAUACGUUCCC